UUAAGAAUAAGCUAAGUUAAGCUUUUGGGCUCAUACCUCAAAUAUAAAGAUAUUCUUUUUCUUAAAU
rnacentral:tRNA from 1 species